UCCUAUCUGUUUUGUAAUUCAAGACAUCUCUCUAUGUGACGAACCUCUGAUAUUUCGAUGGGGCUCAACAGCACCACCCACAGCACCUGGGAUGUUAACACUCCCACAGCAAACCUUGGAUGGAUGGCUAUUGAUUGUUUUCCCUGUGAAUAUUCUGCCUUUUAAAACCCUGACCAGGAUGUCUGAACUGCCCAGGCCUUCUUAAAUGUAGGCUUCAGAGUGAUUUGAGGUGUUAAAGUAGCUUCAGUCAAGUUUUUUGCUUCUGUUCUUGUUUUGUGUCUCUCUUUGGUUGACCAAAGAGUCGACUGACAUUGGAGAUGGCACAGAUUCCACAACUGGACCAAACAAACUCCAUCCCAGAAAAGAGCUAGGCUUUUUGAAUCUCAGGCAUUGAACAUCAAACAUUUAAAAAUUCCCCAUACAGAGGUGCCUUCAGAAGUCCUCUAAGUUGCAUAGUUAUCUCCUUGACAUCUGAUGGGAGGGCGUUCCACAGGGUGGGUGCCCCUACCGAGAAGGCCCCCUGCCUCGUCCCCUGUAACUUCUUGCAGUAAUGUAACAUUUAAGUAAGGGCACUUGAGUCAUAAUAAUGCCGAUAUCACAAGUUUCUGCUGCAUGCUGUG